CACACACACACAAAACAGAUUCUGAUAUUGAUGAGCUGAAACCUGUAGAAGCAGCAGCACUUCUGUAAGUGUCUCUGGAUAAGGAAAAUGAAAUUGUGUCGUUUCCACUAGAGGUGUGAUUUCUGAGGUCUUUUCUCUAUAGGAGGAAGAUGUGGAGAGAACGUGAUCACUGAAGGACGUCCGGACUGUAAGAGAAAGCGGAAGGAUCAGACUGAACCUGAUGUUAUUUACUCUACUGUAACCCACAUGAAAACAGCCGGAGCAGCACGGGUCCAGAUCAACGCUGGAGACAACACUGAAUAUGCCAGCAUUCUAACAAUCUAAUCCACAGUAAAUAUCUACAAUAAUACUGAAUACAUACAAUAUAUUAAAUACACACCAUGGUAAGCACAGGAUUCACAAUAUUGGCUUUGUUUAUUUUACUGUGACUUUUUUUUUUUUAUUUGACCAUUAAUAGCAGAUUUGUGUGCUGAUGGAUAAUCCUGCAAAUUAUAUUUUGAGUGCCUGUGUCAUUUAAUAUCAUUUAUUAUUUUGUAUCAUUUGUUUUUUUUUUUAUUUACAUUAAUGUCAUUUGGUAGACGCCUUCAUCCAGAGCGACUUACAUUUAUCUAAUUUAAACAGCUGAUCAAUUGAGGGUUAAGGUCCUUGGCCAAGAGCCCAACAGUAGUAGCUCGGCAGUGCUGGGGUUUGAACUCCUAACCUUCUGAUCAGUAACCCAGAGACUUUAACCACUGAGACACCUCUUAUAUUUCUAGAAGGAUUUUGUCAUCACCCUGUUUUGUGUAAAUUGUUGUUAAAACAGUCCUUAUAACAUGUUAAAGGGUGCAUGAUAAUGUGCUUGUUGAGUGUUGAGUAUCACACAGUAUUCUCUGUGCAAGGUACAUCUUUCGUUAACUUUGAGAAAGAGGAAGUAGCCAUUUUCCCAUCAAUCCCCACUGCCCUGCCCUGGUCUUACAGCAGAAACAGCCUCUUACAGCCUCUGACAUGCUGAGUGUCUCACAGUGGCUCUGAAGUACCAUGAGAACGCUAGUUAUGAAUGCAAUUGUGGUUUAAUGAACUGCUAAUACCUUUCAGAGGCACGUGUAUGACCUUGCAGCAAAGUCAUAAAGUGACAUGAUUGUAAUUUAGCAUCCUGCAGAUUCUCAUAAAGAGAGGUCUUAAAGGACUCUAGCACAUGUGAGGGGGGAAUUGCUGUUACACCUGCUGUCAGUCCUUAAUAAUGUCUGCCACUUGUCAGAGUGGCAGUGAACCAGCCUCAUGGUGAUGAAUUGUGCAGCUUGUUCCACUGUGAGACCAAGUGCUGGAAAUAGGCAUCGCGCAUAAACCACUGACAUGAACCGCUGACAUGAAUCCUGUGGUUGCAUGGCAUAGAUUACAUCUGACACCCUUAGCAUUCAGUGUUUUAGUAUGUGAAAAUCUCACUUUGCCUGGAACAUAGGAUCCUCUUUCCAUAAAGAGAAGAAGAGAAAGAAACAUAUGGACUAUGGCUUAUAUACAGCAUGGUGCAGCUAUAGGGUUAAUUAAUUUAUUUAUUAAUUCAUCUUCAGUAACUGAUUUAUCCUGGUCAGCGUCAUCAUGGACCCGGACUCUAUCUCAGCAACGCUGGGCACAAGGUGGGAGAAUUCAGAUGGGACGCCAGUCCAUCUCAGAGCACCAUUCACACACAUUCACACCUGGGGCAAUCAAACAUAGUAAAGCUGCAUGUUUUUGGACAGUGGGAGGAAACCGCACACACAACCACAAGGAGGACAUGCAAACAUAUGCACAGACAUUAACAUGGUUUCAUUUUCACCUUUUAAGGAUUUGUAAGGAUCUUGUUGACUGCACAGUCAUAUCUACACACUUUUAUUUUCUGUUCAUGUCAUAUUCUAAGUCGUCCAGGCAUCUCACCAGGUCUAAACAUUUAAGGUAUAAAUGUUUUUAGGUUUUCUUUACAUUAAGUUUCUCACUCUUCUUGGUUUUGCUUGUGCACACACUUCUUAAAUAAUAUAAUAUUCUUAAUAUUCCCAUAAUUUGAAAAUACUUUAGAAAUUUUACUUGAAACAUUUGUAAAAUUCCUGUAGCUUGUUUGUAGCUUAUACAUUUUCAUACUAUUUGCAGUGAUAAAAAUAAAUAAAAAAUGACAGUGGAGCAUGAUAUUUGAAAUUUUUAUUGUAGCACAAUCACAUCCCUAAUAUUUUCACAUAAAUAAUGUUGUGGAUAAAAAAAUGUCAUAAAAUAAACAUAAGGGAGACCUAGCAUCCAGCAAAAGGGAGAAGAAGAAAAAACGGGCACCUAGACACAUAGAAGCGGGAUUAGGCGGACAUUGACGGAUUGGAAUUACACUUUAAAGAUCUUUAAGAGCAGUAGUAGUCAAAAAAAGCCAAAAAGAGGUAUACGAGCUGAGCUGAGGAGUGCUAAUACACACACACACACACACACACACACACACACACACACACACACACGCUCGUACAGUCAAGGGCGGGCAAGUAGACACAACAUACACACACACUCUCUCUUUCUCAUACACACACAUGAAUAACUUUAAUAAUAUCUUAUAGUAAUAGAGAAACUCUAUAAAAAAAACAGAAUAGUGG